UGGAAGUAAAAAGUCGUAACAAGGUUUCCGUAGGUGAACCUGCGGAAGGAUCAUUACUGAGUGAGGGCCCUCUGGGUCCAACCUCCCACCCGUGUUUAACGAACCUUGUUGCUUCGGCGGGCCCGCCUCACGGCCGCCGGGGGGCAUCCGCCCCCGGGCCCGCGCCCGCCGAAGACACCUGUGAACUCUGUCUGAAGUUGCAGUCUGAGAAACUAUUUAAAUUAGUUAAAACUUUCAACAACGGAUCUCUUGGUUCCGGCAUCGAUGAAGAACGCAGCGAAAUGCGAUAAAUAAUGUGAAUUGCAGAAUUCAGUGAAUCAUCGAGUCUUUGAACGCACAUUGCGCCCUCUGGUAUUCCGGAGGGCAUGCCUGUCCGAGCGUCAUUGCUGCCCUCAAGCACGGCUUGUGUGUUGGGCCCCGUCCCCCCCCUCCCGGGGGGACGGGCCCGAAAGGCAGCGGCGGCACCGCGUCCGGUCCUCGAGCGUAUGGGGCUUUGUCACCCGCUCUUGUAGGCCCGGCCGGCGCUUGCCGACCCCCUCAAUCUAUUUUUCAGGUUGACCUCGGAUCAGGUAGGGAUACCCGCUGAACUUAAGCAUAUCA
rnacentral:misc_RNA from 1 species